GCUUCUUUCCGUCUUUCUUUGGUCCACGUUAUGACAGUGAAACCAGCCUGAAGGACCCAGCCUGGCAAGCCUUAAUUGAAGCCCACAUGUGAAUCACAUCUUCUGCUGCAUGCUGGUUCCUUCUGCCUGAAUACACAGAAAUCAUCAUAAAUCCCAACUUGCCCUCUGGUUGGUUCACCCUCGAUUAUGAUGGGGAAAUGCAGGUGUUGGUCCUUGGUUGCUUCUGAUUUGCACAGAUGCAUAGCAUAUUUGGGACUCUGAACAGUGCCGACCACCUUGUAGAACCCCUCCUCUCUCUGGA